rnacentral:rRNA from 1 species
CGAGAUSACCGGCGACCUCGMRUCUYGCGCGCYUUCCGCSCUGUCGAUCCGGCGACGAACGCGUGCACUUUUCUUCUGGUAGGACGUCGCGAUCCGUUGGGUGUCAGUCUACGGCGCGCGGUGGAGCCCGCUCGGCAGCUUCGCGCUUCCGGGCGAACCCGCGCGUUACCCGGCUGACUCGCUCGACGGUAGACAGAAUGGUUAGGGGCCGCUCUUCACGGAGCGUUCGACUCUCGGCAAGCGCGUCAGACGCGUCGGCGAUCGGACCCGGUGCCGAUUCCGACCUCUGGCGACUGUUGGCCGUUGAAGUUCUCGGACAGACCCCGCGCGACCGAUCUGCGACGCUAUAGCUUUGGGUACUUUCAGGACCCGUCUUGAAACACGGACCAAGGAGUCUAGCAUGUGCGCGAGUCAUUGGGAAUCACUAAACCUAAAGGCGCAAUGAAAGUGAAGGUCUUCCUCGCGAAGACCGAGGGAAGACGAGCGGUUCGCCCUUAAAAGCGGCCGUUCCGCAUUCCCGGGGCGUCUCGUUCUCAUCGCGAGAAGAGGCGCACCAAGAGCGUACACGCUGGGACCCGAAAGUAUGGUGAACUAUGCCU